UACAGAGGGGGCAAGCGUUGUUCGGAAUUACUGGGCGUAAAGGGCGCGUAGGCGGCCUUCUAAGUCGAACGUGAAAUCCCCGGGCUCAACCCGGGAACUGCGUCCGAUACUGGAAGGCUUGAAUCCGGGAGAGGGAUGUGGAAUUCCAGGUGUAGCGGUGAAAUGCGUAGAUAUCUGGAGGAACACCGGUGGCGAAGGCGACAUCCUGGACCGGUAUUGACGCGUGAGGCGCGAAAGCCAGGGGAGCAAACGGG
rnacentral:rRNA from 1 species